rnacentral:rRNA from 1 species
UACGAAGGGUGCAAGCGUUACUCGGAAUUACUGGGCGUAAAGCGUGCGUAGGUGGUUUGUUAAGUCUGAUGUGAAAGCCCUGGGCUCAACCUGGGAAUUGCAUUGGAUACUGGCAGGCUAGAGUGCGGUAGAGGAUGGCGGAAUUCCCGGUGUAGCGGUGAAAUGCGCAGAUAUCAGGAAGAACACCUAUGGCGAAGGCAGCUCUCUGGGACGGUACUGACGCUGAGACGCGAAAGCGUGGGGAGCGAACAGG